CAUGCUGCCAAAGUUCAACCCCAAAGAGAUCAAAGUCGUAUACCUGAGGUGCACUGGGGGUGAAGUUGGUGCCACGUCUGCGCUGGCCCCCAGAUUGGCCCCCUGGGUCUGUCUCCAAAAAAGGUUGGUGACGACAUUGCCAAGACAACGGGUGACUGGAAGGGCCUGAGGAUUACAGUGAAAACUGACCAUUCAGAACAGACAGGCCCAGAUUGAGGUGGUGCCUUCUGCCUCUGCCCUGAUCAUCAAAGCCCUCGAGGAACCAUCAAGACAGAAAUAAACAGAAAAACAUUAAACACAGUGGGAAUAUCACUUUUGAUGAGAUCAUCAACAUUGCUCAACAGAUGUGGCACCAAUCUGGAGAGAUCCAGAGAACUCUCUGGAAACAUUAAAGAGAUCCUGGGGACUGCCCAGUCUUUGGGUUGUAAUGUUGACAGCCACCACCCUCAUGAAAUCAUAGAUGACAUCAACAGUGGUGCUGUGGAAUGCCCAGCUAGUU
rnacentral:lncRNA from 1 species